rnacentral:lncRNA from 1 species
GGUAACCAGUUAGUAGUUUUAUCUUGUUCUUGGAGUUUUUGCCAACGUUACCAGUUAGCAUAGUAACCUAAAAACACGGUGCAAAGGAUCCAACACUCACUUGAGUAGGAGUACUCGGUAAUAGCAGAAGUUAGCCGGUGGAAUCAAUGUAAAUGUGGCGAUCAACAUCAAGUCACAUCAGUCGCCCAGCCCAUUUUCACGUACACAUCUAGUACUCACUUACUGCUGAAGCGGCACAUCUACACAAGCGACUUAAAACCAAAUGCGCAUCUACACACAAGAAGAG